UUGAUAUAUAAAGAUUUGUUCAUAAUUUUUUGUAGAAACACGAUUGGGUUCAAUAAAAAAUAUUAGGUAGUCCCUCAAUUCUGUUAUGUCCCUAGCGUUUCCAUAACAAAAGUCCGUGUUGGUGAUACGCACCCAAUUUUCUAUAUUUAUAUCCCCCUUUUUAUAGCCACAAUAGUGAAUUUUUUUAGCUUUUUCAACUCAAGCAAGUAACCUUGUAUGUUAAAAUGCUGAAACAUAUCCUCUUUGAUGCCACGCCCACAGUCCCCAUAAUAACCCAAAUAUUUGGUUAUUAAAUAAUCACGUUCUUUAAAUAGAGUCGACCUUUCUGUAAUUAUCUUAGAACCACGACGGCGACGAUGGGAACGAGGGGGACGGAUCGUAUAAUACUUUGCGAGAUAUAAAUUUAGAUUUUCUAUAAUCUCGUAUUCUUUCUUUUCUAACUCUAACUGCGUUUUAUCAGUAAUGUUACUGUUUGUAUAAAACGGCAUAAAAAAGAAAUCUAGUGGUAAGAUCCAAGGAUUCUUCUUAUAUGCACUUACUUUUAAAAAAAAACCAAAUCUUGGGGUCAAUACUUUCUGAUUCGUUAUGGAAUUCUUUUUUCUUUUUCCCAUCCAAUGAAAAUACUUUCUAUCCAUAUUUUUUUCCAUAUCUAUACCAUCUUUUCCUAUAUNCGUUCUUUAAAUAGAGUCGACCUUUCUGUAAUUAUCUUAGAACCACGACGGCGACGAUGGGAACGAGGGGGACGGAUCGUAUAAUACUUUGCGAGAUAUAAAUUUAGAUUUUCUGUAAUCUCGUAUUCUUUCUUUCCUAACUCUAACUGCGUUUUAUCAGUAAUGUUACUGUUUGUAUAAAACGGCAUAAAAAAGAAAUCUAGUGGUAAGAUCCAAGGAUUCUUCUUAUAUGCACUUACUUUUGAAAAAAAACCAAAUCUUGGGGCCAAUACUUUCUGAUUCGUUAUGGAAUUCUUUUUUCUUUUUCCCAUCCAAUGAAAAUACUUUCUAUCCAUAUUUUUUUCCAUAUCUAUACCAUCUUUUCCUAUAUAAUUUUGGAUAAAGCUAUCUCCCAUUAUAUCAAAUAAUUCUUUGAUAUUUUUAGGUGUGUUAUAAGACUGUGAUUUAUAUCCAUAAAUAUAGGAUUUUUUCUUAUCCACAUAAUUUAUAUAUUGAUAGGAGAAAAGAUCAUAUCCAUAUUUUUUUUCAUUUUUACUAAGUCGACUUCUGCUCCGUUUUCUAAUUCUAUGAAGUCCACUUGUUCUUUUUUGGAAAAAAUUAAUAGGGUUUUUUGAGAUGAACCAUAUUCAUCUAAAUCCUUAUUUUAAGCCACCCGCUAUUCAUGGAUUCUAUUCCUCCACUUUUGUGGUACUAAUCUCGACCAUGCCCUCUGAGGUAAAGCAUAUUGAUAAUGAACCUUUAACCAAUUUGUCCAUUGAUUCAUUAUAGAAUCGUUUCUAUUCCUCCACUUUUGUGGUACUAAUCUCGACCAUGCCCUCUGAGGUAAAGCAUAUUGAUAAUGAACCUUUAACCAAUUUGUCCAUUGAUUCAUUAUAGAAUCGGGACGGUUCUUAUCUCUUAACUUUGAAUUUAAUCUUCCUCCUUGUAUUCUCAAUAAAUACUCCUUUAUUUCAUUGUUCAUAAAAAAAGAUCUUCCAUGAGAUUCAAAAAUAGAUCUUAACUUAUAUCCAUUAGUAACUUGGCUUUGAGAUAAUUUAAACAAUACAUAGGCUUGUGACAAAGAAGAUACAUCACAAGAAUUCUCUGAAUUCAUAUUCCAAGGUUUCUCUAUAGUCGACAUAAAGGGAAUUAUACUUUGAUU
rnacentral:lncRNA from 1 species